rnacentral:tRNA from 1 species
GCCGUGGCUCAGGGGUAGAGUGUCUGCUUGGAAUGCAGAAGGUCCCCAGUUCAACCCCCGGUAUCUCCA